rnacentral:misc_RNA from 1 species
GAUGAAGAACGUAGCGAAAUGCGAUACGUAAUGUGAAUUGCAGAAUUCAGUGAAUCAUCGAAUCUUUGAACGCAUAUUGCGCUCUUUGGUAUUCCGAAGAGCAUGCUUGUUUGAGUAUCAGUAAACACCUCAACCUCUUCUUGAUUUUUCAAAAGGAGGGUGGACUUGAGCUAUCCCAACAACCUUUACCGGUCGGCGGGCGGCUUGAAAUGCAGGUGCAGCUGGACUUUUAUCUGAGCUAAAAGCAUAUCUAUUUAGUCCUCGUCAAACAGGAUUAUUACUUUUGCUGCAGCUAACAUAAAGGAUAAUUGUCCUCUUUGCUGACUGAUGCAGGAUUUUACGACACUUUAUGUGUUGUUCAACUCGAUCUCAAAUCAAGUAAGACUACCCGCUGAACUUAAGCUUAUCAAUAAGCGGAGGA